GAAGGUGGUCCAUCGGGUGCUUAUGAUGGCAUCCGUGAAUAAGAUAGUGUGCAGUGUUUCCCCUGGAGUGGUUUCACAAAAUCAUUAGCAUCUGACCGAAGUCAUGUUUCCAGGAAUUUGUCUGUUUGAGGAGGAUUCAUAGGAGAGUACUGUCUCUAUGAAAUGUAACACAGAGAGAGGGAGAAAGUGACUAACCAGUAACUCUUCGUUUUUAUGU